rnacentral:rRNA from 1 species
GACGAACCGAGCGAACGUUGUUCGGAAUCACUGGGCUUAAAGGGCGCGUAGGCGGGCUGCCGCGUCCGGGGUGAAAUCCCACGGCUCAACCGUGGAACGGCCCCGGGUACGGGCGCCUCGAGGAGGCGAGGGCGGUGCGGAACUUCGGGUGGAGCGGUGAAAUGCGUAGAUAUCCGAAGGAACACCGGUGGCGAAAGCGGCGCGCUGGACCUCUUCUGACGCUGAGGCGCGAAAGCCAGGGGAGCAAACGGG